rnacentral:rRNA from 1 species
UACGUAGGGUGCAAGCGUUGUCCGGAAUUAUUGGGCGUAAAGAGCUCGUAGGCGGUCUGUCGCGUCUGCUGUGAAAACUCAGGGCUUAACCCUGAGCUUGCAGUGGGUACGGGCAGACUAGAGUGCGGUAGGGGAGACUGGAAUUCCUGGUGUAGCGGUGAAAUGCGCAGAUAUCAGGAGGAACACCGGUGGCGAAGGCGGG